GACGUAGGGCGCGAGCGUUGUCCGGAUUUAUUGGGCGUAAAGAGCUCGUAGGCGGCUUGUUGCGUCGACCGUGAAAACCCGGGGCUCAACUUCGGGCUUGCGGUCGAUACGGGCGGGCUAGAGUUCGGUAGGGGAGACUGGAAUUCCUGGUGUAGCGGUGAAAUGCGCAGAUAUCAGGAGGAACACCAGUGGCGAAGGCGGGUCUCUGGGCCGAUACUGACGCUGAGGAGCGAAAGCGUGGGGAGCGAACAGG
rnacentral:rRNA from 1 species